CUCAAAAAAAUAAGUCUCAGUUCGGAUUGAAGGCUGAAAUUCGCCUUCAUGAAGCCGGAAUUGCUAGUAAUGGCAGGUCAGCAUACUGCCGUGAAUACGUUCCCGGGCCUUGUACACACCGCCCGUCACACCAUGAGAGUUGGGAGUACCCGAAGCCUGUGAGCUAACUUUUAGAGGCAGCAGUCGAAGGUAGAAUCAAUGAUUGGGGUGAAGUCGUAACAAGGUAUC
rnacentral:rRNA from 1 species